rnacentral:rRNA from 1 species
UAUCAACGGCAUCACGAGGGUCCUACUGUCUCCUCUCUCCAAUCAAUGAAACUGAUCUCUCCGUGAAGAAGCGGGGAUUUAACUAUAAGACGAGAAGACCCCAUGGAGCUUUAAACCCGACUACACCUCCACCUCUUAUACCCACAUAAUCAACGGAAUACUGUACAUCGGUUUUGGGUUGGGGUGACCACGGAGCACAAACUAACCUCCAUGAUGAAUAAGACUAACCCUUUAUCUAAGAGACACAUCUCUAAGAAUUAGCACACUAACAUAAAAUGAUCCGAUAUUCGAUCAACGAACCAAGUUACCCUGGGGAUAACAGCGCAAUCCACUUCAAGAGCCCCUAUCCACAAGUGGGUUUACGACCUCGAUGUUGGAUCAGGGUAUCCUAGUGGUGCAGCAGCUACUAAAGGUUCGUUUGUUCAACGAUUAA